AUUGAACGCUGGCGGAAUGCUUUACACAUGCAAGUCGAACGGCAGCACGGGGGCAGCCCUGGUGGCGAGUGGCGAACGGGUGAGUAAUACAUCGGAACGUGCCCGGUCGUGGGGGAUAACGUAGCGAAAGUUACGCUAAUACCGCAUACGAUCUGAGGAUGAAAGCGGGGGACCUUCGGGCCUCGCGCGAUCGGAGCGGCCGAUGUCAGAUUAGGUAGUUGGUGGGGUAAAGGCCUACCAAGCCGACGAUCUGUAGCUGGUCUGAGAGGACGACCAGCCACGCUGGGACUGAGAGACGGCCCAGACGCCUACGGGAGGCGGCAGUGGGGAAUUUUGGACAAUGGGCGCAAGCCUGAUCCAGCCAUUCCGCGUGCAGGACGAAGGCCUUCGGGUUGUAAACUGCUUUUGUACGGAACGAAAAGGCUCUGGCUAAUACCUGGGGCUCAUGACGGUACCGUAAGAAUAAGCACCGGCUAACUACGUG
rnacentral:rRNA from 1 species